UCAUUACAACUGACAGGAACGAGAAUAAAAAAUAAAAUUAAAACAAUAGAAUGGAUGGAAGAUAUACUGUAAUAUACUUUUGAAGGAGAUUCGUCCAGAGAGAGACAGAAUGGGAGAGAGCAAGAGAGAGAGAGGACCAUGCCUGUAAACUACUCACAGAAAGGGGUCAAAUGAGAGCCUCCCAGGAAAAGUCACCUGCCCGCUGUAGCCGUCUUCUAAACCUUGCAGCUGCAGCAGAGACAAGUGGACCUAAAAGAGAACAGAGAAUAUUCAAGCCCGAUUGACCAAGAGAGUCUUGUGUACUCUGCAUAUGGAGUGCCCUCUUCUGACGUGGUGGGACCAAGCAAACCAGAAUAUGAACACACACCUUCACCUCUUCCUGACAUUCAAGAAAUCAAGAAGAUGGAGAGCCCUAGUAAACAACUGAGUAAAGCCUACAACAAGGAUGAAUAUGUCUAGGAUAUUCCCAUCACUGUAUGCUUUUCAGUCCUUAUUUUCUGACUUGAACUGUGGACACUCAUGUCUGUAUCUUUAAAGAAAAAAUGCCUUUUCGUGUGUGAGUUAUGAUGGUCAGCUGGAAACUCCCUAGCUAAUGACAAAGCUACUGGCACACUGCAUUUAUUAAAGACAGCUAGCUAGGUAGAUGGUUUGGAUAAGAAUUACAAUAAAGUUGAAGAUCAAACUAACUAAUAUCUCAAAAGCCUGUGAGCGCUUUUCAUCACUCUCUUAUAAUAACAAAAAUAUUCCUGAAAUUCUGCAUUACUGCAUCAGUGUGAAGAGGGAGAGAAACACUGAUAUUUGGCUACUUUGGAACUUCUGUAAUGUCAGAUUUUGCUUCUCAGUCUCAAAAAACCAUUUAUUGGUGACUUAACUGAGGGAGUGAUAUUUAGAUUCAUUAAAAUCUGUGAAUUUCUUAACUAGUAUCAAAAAUGUAAUAUAUUUAAUGGUUAUGCAUUUAACACUGACACCACAUAUGUAUGUUUGUUGAAAAUAACACAUUUUAUUAGCAAAAUUAAGCUCAGUUACGACAAAAUGAAACACAAUUGAAAACAAAACAUGUAUUUUGAAAUUUACCAAGAAAACUACCAUGUGUGCAAAUGUGCAAACUGUUAUUUUCCAAAUCAGGUUCACAGAUUUAUUCCUAAAAUCAUAAAAAAAAAAAAACAAUUUUACACACUGCAUACAUACAUACAUACAUACAUGGCCCUGCAUGAAUCACUUUGUGCAAAUCAACUUUUCCCUUUAAAUCUUAAAAAACACCAAGAUACAAAUAAAAAAACAAAACAAAAAAAUAGCUCUCCAAGAAAUUGCAUAACAUUUGUGAUCUUUGAAUUCAUAUGUUUA